GACCCAAAAGGUUAGGGAUAGCCUCACCUUAGAGAGAAAUUUUUCAGAAAUUAGAAUUCAUUUGUUAGUUUCUUACUCUCUUUCUAAAAAUUGGGUUCUUUAGAAGUUCUGUCUUUUCUCUAAACAUUGUCCCAUCUUCUCUCUACCCUUUCUCAAAUUUCUACCAUUGCUUUUCCAAAUAGGUGGUGCCCCUAUGUUUCUGGAGUCGAGGGUUUCCAAUCCAUCCGAUUAGUUUCGCGUCUCUCCACUAAUAAGGUACUGUCGAAAUUAUCUCUAUGCAGAGGUAUUGUUAGGGCGUUUUCUAGGAAUUGUGCUGUGAGAACCAAAAGAAUGAAAGUAGGAACUCAAGGGGGUCUUCCUAACGCUCCAACGGUCUUACUUUUUACAUAGAGAGGACUGAACCAUGUGGUGAGGAGUAGCAGGAGAUCUUAGUCUUGGAGGCUUCCAUCUUACUCCAGGGCGCGGAACAGACUAACCUCGUAAAUGUGGCAGGACGGGGGAGCCCAGGACGGGGGAGCCCAGGGCGGGGAGCCCAAGGCGGGGGAGCCUAAGUAUCACAAGCCACCACAGGUGCAUGACUCGCCAUAGCUCGACUAUCAUUCUAAUGUCCGGACGAGUCAAGUCUAGUAUUUAACAUGAUAGGAUGUAUGUUUUAUCCUGGUUGCUUUAAAUUAAUCUCUUGUAUGUACAUGCUCUUAAUUGUAUUCUUUUUAUAUAAUUAGCUCACUCUUACAAUUGCUUGUGUUUGUGCCAUAUUUGCGUCUGUUUCCUUUGCAAUGAUCAUCCACUUGGAUGAGAGUAGAUGGCGAGGAGGAUACUUUGGAAACAACUCUUGAUAGGGACGACAAUGCUGUUGCCUAGUUCUCUAGGCUUUAAUUCUCUUGUCCUAGGAUAUUUUGAAGAAAUUUUAUUAUGUUCUAAGUUUAUAAAUUCUCUAUAUUUUAAGGGAGAAAUUCUAGUAUUCCAACUA